rnacentral:rRNA from 1 species
UACGUAGGGGGCAAGCGUUGUCCGGAAUUAUUGGGCGUAAAGAGCGUGUAGGCGGUCUGGUAAGUCAGCUGUGAAAGUCAAGGGCUCAACCCUUGAAAGCCGGUGGAUACUGUCGGGCUAGAGUCCGGAAGAGGCGAGUGGAAUUCCCGGUGUAGCGGUGAAAUGCGCAGAUAUCGGGAGGAACACCAGCGGCGAAGGCGGCGAUCUGGGCCAGUACUGACACUGAGGAGCGAAAGCGUGGGGAGCGAACAGG